rnacentral:sRNA from 1 species
AAGGUUAAUUUAUCUGGUGCACGCUCGCUGCAGGAAGGUGCAGAAAGGUUGUAGUAAAUCGGACAGAGAAAGCAACAUUCAGCAGAAACAGGAGAGCAUCAAAGGUACAAGAAAGCAACAUACAGCAGAAACAGGAGAGCAUCAAAGGUACAAGAAAGCAACAUUCAGCAGAAACAGGAGAGCAUCAAAGGGAUAAGAAAGCAGCAUUCAGCAGAAACAGGAGAGCAUCAAAGGUACAAGAAAGCAACAUUCAGCAGAAACAGGAGAGCAUCAAAGGUACAAGAAAGCAGCAUUCAGCAGAAACAGGAGAGCAUCAAAGGUACAAGAAAGCAGCAUUCAGCAGAAACAGAAGAGCAUCAAAGGUACAAUAAAGCAACAUUCAGCU